rnacentral:lncRNA from 10 species
UGGACUGCUUCAUGGCAUUUGGAAGCGGGAAGUUCCAGUGUCCUGCAAGAAAAGGUUUUUGAACAUCUCAUCUGUGCCAGGCCCUCUUCUAAGCUUCAGAGAGCACUGAGGAAGACCAACAUGGUCCCUGACUUCAUAGAAUUUACAAUCUACAUUAAAUAUGUCACAUUUCUUCAUUGGGGAUGAUUCUGUAGGGGAAAUGUCAGUACCUGUUUAUGACAAAAUCUCACUCAAUAAAUGUAGAAAUCCAUUAAAUUUUUAUAUUUAAAAAAUUGUA